rnacentral:rRNA from 1 species
ACCCGCUGAACUUAAGCAUAUCAAUAAGCGGAGGACAAGAAACCAACUGGGAUUGCCUCAGUAACGGCGAGUGAAGCGGCAACAGCUCAAAUUUGAAAUCUGGCUCCCUCGGGGUCCGAGUUGUAAUUUGUAGAGGAUGCUUCGGGCGCGGCGCUGGUCCAAGUUCCUUGGAACAGGACGUCAGAGAGGGUGAGAAUCCCGUACGUGACUGUGCGCCGCCCGUCCGUGUGAAGCUCCUUCGACGAGUCGAGUUGUUUGGGAAUGCAGCUCCAAGUGGGUGGUAAAUUUCAUCUAAAGCUAAAUAUGGGCCAGAGACCGAUAGCGCACAAGUAGAGUGAUCGAAAGAUGAAAAGCACUUUGGAAAGAGAGUUAAACAGCACGUGAAAUUGUUGAAAGGGAAGCGCUUGCAACCAGACUUGUGCGCAGCCGAUCAUCCGGGGUUCUCCCCGCUGCACUCGGUUGCGCUCAGGCCAGCAUCGGUUUGGGUGGUCGGACAAAGGUCGUGGGAAUGUGGCUUCCUUCGGGGAGUGUUAUAGCCCGCGGCGGCAUGCGACCUACCUGGACCGAGGAACGCGCUCCGGCUAGGAUGCUGGCGUAAUGGUUGUAAGCGACCCGUCUUGAAACACGGACCAAGGAGUCUAAUAUUUAUGCGAGUAUUUGGGUGUCAAACCCGGGUGCGCAAUGAAAGUGAACGGAGGUGAGAACCCGCGAGGGUGCAUCAUCGACCGAUCCUGAUGUCUUCGGAUGGAUUUGAGUAAGAGCAUAGCUAUUGGGACCCGAAAAAGAGUGAACUUUACGUGAAUAGGGUGAAGUCAGAGGAAACUCUGAUGGAGGCUCGCAGCGGUUCUGACGUGCAAAUCGAUCGUCAAAUUUGCGUAAAGGGGCGAAAGAC